GACGAACGCUGGCGGCGUGCUUAACACAUGCAAGUCGAACGGAAAGUCCCUGCUGUUGUUUGCUGCUCGAGUGACGAACGGGUGAGUAACACGUGAGUAACCUGCCCUUGACUGUGUGAUAACUUCAGGAAACUGGUGCUAAUGCCAGAUAGUAGCUCCUGCUGCUUGUUCUUGGUUGAAAAGUUUCGGCGGGUGGGGAUGGACUCGCGGCCUCUGAGCCUGUUGGUGGAGUAGUGGAUUAGCAAGGUUUUGGCGGGUAGCCGGCCUGAGAGGGUGACAGGCCCCAUAGGGCCUGAGAUACGGGCAAGAGUGAUACGGGAGGAAGCAGCGGGAGAUAUUGCGCGAUGGGCGGAAGCAUGAAGCAGGAACGUCGGGUGGGGGAUGACGGCUUUCGGGUUGUAACCCGCUUUAGCCUGUGACGAAGAGUGAGUGACGGUAAUGGGUAAAGAAGCAACGGCUAACUACGUG
rnacentral:rRNA from 1 species